UGACUGCGUACCUUUUGUAUAAUGGGUCAGCGACUUAUAUUCUGUAGCAAGGUUAACCGAAUAGGGGAGCCGAAGGGAAACCGAGUCUUAACUGGGCGUUAAGUUGCAGGGUAUAGACCCGAAACCCGGUGAUCUAGCCAUGGGCAGGUUGAAGGUUGGGUAACACUAACUGGAGGACCGAACCGACUAAUGUUGAAAAAUUAGCGGAUGACUUGUGGCUGGGGGUGAAAGGCCAAUCAAACCGGGAGAUAGCUGGUUCUCCCCGAAAGCUAUUUAGGUAGCGCCUCGUGAAUUCAUCUCCGGGGGUAGAGCACUGUUUCGGCAAGGGGGUCAUCCCGACUUACCAACCCGAUGCAAACUGCGAAUACCGGAGAAUGUUAUCACGGGAGACACACGGCGGGUGCUAACGUCCGUCGUGAAGAGGGAAACAACCCAGACCGCCAGCUAAGGUCCCAAAGUCAUGGUUAAGUGGGAAACGAUGUGGGAAGGCCCAGACAGCCAGGAUGUUGGCUUAGAAGCAGCCAUCAUUUAAAGAAAGCGUAAUAGCUCACUGGUCGAGUCGGCCUGCGCGGAAGAUGUAACGGGGCUAAACCAUGCACCGAAGCUGCGGCAGCGACACUAUGUGUUGUUGGGUAGGGGAGCGUUCUGUAAGCCUGUGAAGGUGUGCUGUGAGGCAUGCUGGAGGUAUCAGAAGUGCGAAUGCUGACAUAAGUAACGAUAAAGCGGGUGAAAAGCCCGCUCGCCGGAAGACCAAGGGUUCCUGUCCAACGUUAAUCGGGGCAGGGUGAGUCGACCCCUAAGCCGAGGCCGAAAGGCGUAGGCGAUGGACAACAGGUUGAUAUUCCUGUACCACCUCCUCACCAUUUGAGCAAUGGGGGGACGCAGGAGGAUAGGGUAAGCGCGGUAUUGGAUAUCCGCGUCCAAGCAGUUAGGCUGUCUC
rnacentral:rRNA from 1 species